rfam:Peptoniphilus grossensis strain 35-6-1 unitig_0, whole genome shotgun sequence.
AAAAUAAUUUAAGCGCCUGAGCCCAAGUGGCUGACGAGGGGUAGAGUUAUCGAAUAUCGGCGGAUGCUCUAAAGGUUUCACAGCCUAAACAUUUUACAAAAAAUAAAAGCAAUUUUAUAACAAAAUAGAUGUAGUGAGUCUCU